rnacentral:rRNA from 1 species
GCCCUUAUUCCGGUUGAUCCUGCCGGAGGCCAUUGCUAUCGGAGUCCGAUUUAGCCAUGCUAGUCGUGCGAGUUCAGACUCGCGGCACCGAGCUCAGUAACACGUGGCCAAACUACCCUACAGAGACGGAUACCCUCGGGAAACUGAGGUUAACCCGUCAUACCGAUCUCAGGCUUGAAUCGCAGAGAUCACAAAACGCCCCGGCGCUGUAGGAUGUGGCUGCGGUUGAUUAGGUAGACGGUGGGGUAACGGCCCACCGUGCCCAUAAUCAGUACAGGUUGUGAGAGCAAGAACCUGGAGACGGAAUCUGAGACAAGAUUCCGGGCCCUACGGGGCGCAGCAGGCGCGAAACCUUUACACUGCACGCACGUGCGAUAAGGGGACUCCGAGUGCGAGGGCAUAUCGUCCUCGCUUUCGUGUACCGUAGGGUGGUACACCAACAAGGGCUGGGCAAGACCGGUGCCAGCCGCCGCGGUAAUACCGGCAGCCCGAGUGAUGGCCGAUCUUAUUGGGCCUAAAGCGUCCGUAGCUGC